rnacentral:lncRNA from 1 species
AAAAGGGAAGUGAUGGCUGGUUUUUUAAUGGGUUUUCCCAGCUAAACACAGAAACUGAUCUUCAUUACACUUGACUGCUUCUAUCAUGAUAGCAAGUGAGGGACAGAGAAAAAGCGAUUGUUCUCCAGGGACAUUUACUCUGAACACUUCAUUAUCCCUGCUGAGGGAAGCUGGGGAGGCAAAAAAUGUUCUCCCAUUGGGCUGAACUGUGAGGGGCAAGGAGGUGCCAUAUGUCACAACAAACUCCAAGACAAUAAGGUGAAAUGAAGAGCCCUCGUUUCUAUGAACUUCUUACCCCUUUCUCGGGGAAAGACACUGAGAUGCUGUAAAGGUCACCAGAGCUCCGUGCACACAACCACCCCUUUCUCGUGGGUGGUCCAG